rnacentral:tRNA from 2 species
GCGCCCUUCGUCUAUCGGUUAGGACACUAGCCUUUCACGCUGGAGAGACGGGUUCGAUUCCCGUAGGGCGUACCA